rnacentral:RNase_P_RNA from 1 species
GCAGAAGACCAGACGACCGCUGCCGCGCGGACGUCCUGGGGCGUACGCGUCCCGGGAAACGCCGCGUGGGAGAGGAAAGUCCGAACUCCGCAGGGCAGUGCGCCGGGUAACGCCCGGUCAGGGUGACCUGAAGGAAAGUGGCACAGAAAAUAUACCGCCCGACUUCGCGCCUUCGGCGCUUCGUCGGGGCAGGCCCCUGGGUCUGUCCCCGGCGAGGCACGGCAGGUAGGCCCUCACGGGCUUGCUCCGCCGUAGCCCGGAGGGCGGAGGCGAGUAAGGGUGAAAAGGUGCGGUAAGAGCGCACCGCGUCGCCCGCCGAAGCGGGUCAGCGGGGGAGACCCCGGUGAACCCGCGAAGGCAGGCCGCGGGCCGGCCCGGUUCGCCGAGAGGCGGAUCGGCGCCACCCGCGUGCGGCAACGCAGGCGGCACGCAAAACCCCGCACGGAGCAAGGCCAAAUAGGGAGGCGCCAUCAGGACGGCCCGUCCGACCGCCUUCGCCAAGGCUACGGUUCGCCGUAGCGGCGGCGGAGGCGAACGCCUCCGGGUAGGUUGCUGGAGCCCGCCAGUAAUGGCGGGCCUAGAGGAAUGGUCGUCCCGCCGUAGCGGGCGCGUCAGCGCCCGCGAAGGCGGACAGAAUUCGGCUUACGGUCUCCCUGCGGCA